AUUGAACGCUGGCGGCAUGCCUUACACAUGCAAGUCGAACGGCAGCACGGGAGCAAUCCUGGUGGCGAGUGGCGAACGGGUGAGUAAUAUAUCGGAACGUGCCCAGUCGUGGGGAUAACGUAGCGAAAGCUACGCUAAUACCGCAUACGAUCUAUGGAUGAAAGCGGGGGAUCGCAAGACCUCGCGCGAUUGGAGCGGCCGAUAUCAGAUUAGGUAGUUGGUGAGGUAAAGGCUCACCAAGCCGACGAUCUGUAGCUGGUCUGAGAGGACGACCAGCCACACUGGGACUGAGACACGGCCCCAGACUCCUACGGGAGGCAGCAG
rnacentral:rRNA from 1 species